GCCUGGCUGGCUUAGUAGGUAGAGCAUGUGACUCUUGAUCUCAAGGUUGUGAGUUUGAGUCCCACAUUGGGUG
rnacentral:tRNA from 1 species